GAUGAACGCUAGCGACAGGCCUAACACAUGCAAGUCGAGGGGCAUCGGGGUGUAGCAAUACGCUGCCGGCGACCGGCGGAUGGGUGAGUAACGCGUAUGCAACCUGCCUUCAGCAGGGGGAUAGCCCGUUGAAAGACGGAUUAAUACCCCGUAACACAGGGGCUCCGCAUGGAGAUUAUUGUUAAAGGGAUGCUUCCUUCGGGGAGUAUUCCGGCUGAAGAUGGGCAUGCGUUCCAUUAGGUAGUUGGUUGAGGUAACGGCUCACCAAGCCUGCGAUGGAUAGGGGAACUGAGAGGUUGGUCCCCCACACUGGUACUGAGACACGGACCAGACUCCUACGGGAGGCAGCAGUGAGGAAUCUUGGUCAAUGGACGGAAGUCUGAACCAGCCAUGUCGCGUGAAGGAGGGCGGCCCUAAGGGUUGUAAACUUCUUUUGCAGGGGAAUAAAGUAUUCCACGAGAUGGGAUAUUGCAAGUACGCUGCGAAUAAGGAUCGGCUAACU
rnacentral:rRNA from 1 species